CCGUCGUCUGAUAAGAGUGUGAUCUUCAUUUCUUUAAACAAACGAUGACACGCAGGGGGGUACCACCGUAGCUUCUAGUUGGUGAGUUUAUGACAAUCCUCCCCGCACUCGGGGAAGGUAUCGGUAAUGGAGAUGAACUAAUGGCUGUCUGAUAAUGUGAACGACCGCGGUGUGUGAGUGAGUGUGUGGUAAUGGAUCGGUAUGACAUCGGUGUGUGCCAUCAUUGUUUUUAUUUCAAACUUCCUUUUGCUGCUCCUUUUUAGAUGACACGACCACCGCUCCUCCACCAAGUGCGGUGUACUGCAUGAAUCAUCCAGUUCCGAAUUGUCGGAAUUGUCGGAGGGAUAGUGGUGGGAACGAACGAGUUUGGGGGGUACGCUCUGGUGUGCGGUGAUUGAUUUGACGCCACAUACAAUGCGAUAAACACGUCAUCGUUCGCUAGCGUGAAAUUCGCUCAAUACGAGAAAGAGAGAGAGAGAGAGAGUGAGAGAGUAACAUCAUCCGUAGCGUCGUCAUCAUCAUCCCGAUCACCACGUGCGAAGGGCAUCAGCAGCAACUUACACAGACGGUUUGAUGAUGAUGAUGAUGAUGAUGAUGAUUUGGGAAGGUAUUGAGAGAACGGUCGCGCACCCGCCUACUCGAUCUGACGGUCGCGGAUGUGUGGAGGUGAUCGCAAAUGUGUGUGUGUGUGUGCAGUAUGGAGAGUAGGUCAACAAAGAGCGUACGGAACAACGUCGUCUAGCGCGUCAGAGGUUUCCAAGCGGCAUGAUUUUCAACACGACUCAAGCAGGAUUGAGUUUGACAGUUCUUUGUUAUGUGUUGCUGCCCACAAGAUCAGAGCAGGCGUGGUAAGCCCAAGCUGAGGUGAAAAGAUGGCAUGAAGGUGUUUGUCAUUUAAACCAGGAUAACGGAUACGAUGACGGUACGGACUACAAAGCUGCCACCGUUUGCACGUUGCUCACCCCUGGCAGAGAGAACAGCUCGCGCAACGCCCUUUCUAACACAGCUGAUCCAGCCAAACACGGGAGGGCAAACGAUUCUAGCUCCACCGUUCACACCGCACUCCGAUCGACGGUAGUAGCAGAAGGGAACACCACCACUACACACACAUAGCGCCCUUUUUGUUACGUACGCGAGAGAUGAUGCUAUAUUGCGCGCCGCUUACUCAUUCACAGUUCCGCGAACGCGCACGAACACGAUCGCGCGACGUCAUCGAUCGGAGUUUCGCAAAUCCAACCGAGCGCGCUGCCGCUGUUGGUGCUGGCAGUGUUGGCCGUAACGCCUGAUCGAUGAGUCAGAUGGUGUGAAGAAGGAUAUCACAACUCACCUUGGCGGCGUGACGUUUGCUCGUCUUUUCGGAAGUUUUUUUUGGGUAGCACCUUUGGAAGCACGCAGGAACAGCAGGAAGACAGCAGCGCGGACGAACUCGAAUUGAACUCUGCACACGAUCGCGAAGGUGUUGUAUGUGUACGUGUCUGUUGGCACGCGCUCGCGCACCACCUCCGUUUGAAGAAGCACAACACACCGUAAACAAAGAACUUUACAUUCGCACACACACACAAACCACACACGAUCCAGAGAGUCGUCGCAGGUCCAAACACGCGGGUAAGUUCCCUUUCGCACAAACCCACUCACUGGCACUGGCACAACAGCAGGAGCGUGAACUUUCUUUUUGUGUUUUUUUUGCUUCGAACCAAACUGUGCGU